CCUACGGGGGGCAGCAGUGAGGAAUAUUGGUCAAUGGGCGGAAGCCUGAACCAGCCAAGUAGCGUGCAGGAUGACGGCCCUACGGGUUGUAAACUGCUUUUAUACGGGAAUAACGCGCCUUACGUGUAGGGCUUUGCAUGUACCUUAUGAAUAAGGACCGGCUAAUUCCGUGCCAGCAGCCGCGGUAAUACGGAAGGUCCGGGCGUUAUCCGGAUUUAUUGGGUUUAAAGGGAGCGUAGGCCGCAUGUUAAGCGUGCUGUGAAAUGUUCGGGCUCAACCCGGACCUCGCAGCGCGAACUGGCGUGCUUGAGUACGCGAGAGGCAGGCGGAAUUCGUAGUGUAGCGGUGAAAUGCUUAGAUAUGACGAAGAACCCCGAUUGCGAAGGCAGCCUGCUGGAGCGGAACUGACGCUGAUGCUCGAAAGCGUGGGUAUCGAACAGGAUUAGAUACCCCUGUAGUC
rnacentral:rRNA from 1 species